UUACUACCUUAUCUUCUGAUGGUGUUUUCUUACCUUCUUCUUCAUCUUCUUCUUCUCCUAUUUUACCAAAUGUCAUACCCGACAUCCCUCAUUCAUCUCAAACACAACCUGAUUCUCACUCUUCUGAACAUCAUCUACAAUUUGAUCCUCCAUCAUCUGAUCCUUCAUCAUCUCAAUUACAAUCUGACCUUCAGCCAUCUGACCCUCCUAUACAAUCUGAUCUUCCUUCCUCUGAUCCUCAACCGAUUUCCAUUUCAUCUCUUCAACCUUCAAGAAGAUCAUCUUGGGUUAAGCACAAACCAGGCUACUUACAGCAGUACCACUGUCAGGUUGCUUUUCAUCAUGCUUCAUCUCCGUCUUCCAUAAAGUCGGAUUUAGGAUCGUAUCCAGAUUGGAGACUUUGAUUGGUUCUCCAAUGUAGAGUCCAAGUAACUAGAACACGGAGGAGUAUUCGGGUCAUGAGUCCUAUGCAGCUAAGAUGAUAUCCUUGUGGCUGCAGGUACUUUGGUCGUAGUUGGUGGUGUGGUAGAAGUGUACCUGGAGUAUUAUGACUAAAGCUCGCCGCAACAGUCAUAAUUGGUGGACCACGGGUUGUCCAUUGUUUUAUAGGUUUUGUUUAUAGCUUGUGAAGCUUGUGUCACUUAUUCUUGUAAAGCCAUUUCUGUUGUGUAUUUAUAUUGAGGAAAGACUUAA